rnacentral:rRNA from 1 species
GACGAACGCUGGCGGCGUGCUUAACACAUGCAAGUCGAACGGAAAGGCCCUGCUUUUGUGGGGUGCUCGAGUGGCGAACGGGUGAGUAACACGUGAGUAACCUGCCCUUGACUUUGGGAUAACUUCAGGAAACUGGUGCUAAUACCGGAUAGGAGCUCCUGCUGCAUGGUGGGGGUUGGAAAGUUUCGGCGGUUGGGGAUGGACUCGCGGCUUAUCAGCUUGUUGGUGGGGUAGUGGCUUACCAAGGCUUUGACGGGUAGCCGGCCUGAGAGGGUGACCGGCCACAUUGGGACUGAGAGACGGCCCAGACUCCUACGGGAGGCAGCAGUGGGGAAUAUUGCACAAUGGGCGGAAGCCUGAUGCAGCAACGCCGCGUGCGGGAUGACGGCCUUCGGGUUGUAAACCGCUUUCGCCUGUGACGAAGCGUGAGUGACGGUAAUGGGUAAAGAAGCACCGGCUAACUACGUG